UUCACAUCAUUAUCACAGUUUAUCAAAUAAAGAACAACUAACUUGUAUGACCGGUUCACUAAUUUCAGGGCUUCUUCAUACUGGUCCUUGGGACACUGAUGGAAAAGAAGGUUCGGGAGGCACUUAAAAGAAGAUUGAGAAUCACUAGAGGCACUGGAUCUCAUGCCACACAUACUUCAAGCUCUGGUGCCCAUUCCUAUGGCAGAAGCAGUUCUUCCAACAGAACGACUCUUACAGAUGUUUUCAACACUCUUUUGAGAAGAGUGAGGCAUGCUGGGGCAAAUUCCUCACACAACUCUGGAGC